GACCAUAGCAAGAGUGAACCACCUGAUCCCUUCCCGAACUCAGAAGUGAAACCUCUUAGCGCUGAUGGUAGUGUGGGGUUACCCAUGUGAGAGUAAGUCAUC
rnacentral:rRNA from 1 species